UGAGAACAAGCAUGUCAAGUUCCUUGCUGACGGUUCUGCAGCAUAUACACAUGCUCUUGGCCUGGAGCUCGAUCUUUCAGAGAAAGGACUUGGUGUUCGAUCCAAGCGUUUCUCUCUCUUAGUUGAUAACCUCAAGGUCAAAGCCGCAAAUAUCGAGUCUGGUGGAGAAUUUACUGUCUCAGGUGCUGAGGACAUCCUCAAGGCUCUUUGAUUGAAUCCAUUUUUCAAUUGUAUGUGAACUAUUUGCAUCACAGGCUUUGGCCUUCCAUGUAGUUUCUAGCUGAUGAACCUUCGUGAUACUGAGUAAAGCCCAUGUCGACCUUCUAUCGAACUGUGGUUUUGUGGAGUUAAUUAGAUGUUUAGGGCUCACUUUCAUAUGAAUAAUGAAAAAUCAUG
rnacentral:misc_RNA from 1 species